rnacentral:lncRNA from 1 species
ACAAGGCCGUGUGGCCCACACGACCUCCUACAUGAACGUGGGAGAAGAGAAGGAAAUCAUACACACCCUGGCACCAAGCUGUGUGAAGACUGGGCUCAUUUUCUUUUAAAACGCACACGGGCUGAAAAUAUCACACACGGGCAUGUAACACCCAUUUAAACCCUAAUUUCCCUUUCAUUUUGCUUUUGUCCUCUCCCCACCCCAAAAAAAAACCCUAGCUGCCGCUCACCAUCCCCCGCCACCGAUUUGCUUCCCCUUACCUGUCAGGCCACCUUCUCGAUUUCCCUUUCCUUCCCAACCGCCCCUAGCCAAACCAGAAACCUCCCUCGCCCGAACUGCCAGCCCCUACGACCACUACAACCAAUCCUCAUCUUUAACCGAUUUGGCCUAUUCGUGCCCCUACACUCUCACCCGAGCACGCCCUUCUCCUUGCCAUUUCAUCACCUUCAUGCCCUCCUUUCCUCCUUCCCCUUCCCCCUUCGAGCCAACAGCCCCUCUUUUUCAUUCCCUUUCCCCCUUUUUUUCCCUCAUUCCCAUCGCAACCUUCGCAUCUCCCCACCUUUCCCAUAACCAAACCCCCUUCCACCCUCACACCUCACGCCCUAGCUCCUUUCCCCUUGCUUGGUCACGCAAAUCCUUCAUCUUUUGAGCCACCAUCCACACUCACCCCAUACCCUUUCCCCUUUCCUCUCCCUCGCACCGACCACCGCACCCUCUAGCCUUUUUCCCUUUAUAGUCCGUUGUCCCACACCCUCCCCUAUUCUUUCCCCACCUCACCAACAACCUAAACCUCCCCUCCCCACCACAUCUCCAACCAUCGCCACCAACCACUGUCGGUCCUUCCCUUUUACCCUUUUUAUUUAUUUAUUUUUUAUUCUUAUUUUUCUAUUUUAUUAUUCUUAUUUGUUUUAUUAUGCUUAUGCUUAUGCUUACGCUUAGAUUUUAUUUUUAUUUUUAUUUUUUAUGCUAUUUAGUU